rnacentral:rRNA from 1 species
GACGAACGCUGGCGGCGUGCUUAACACAUGCGAGUCGAACGGAAAGGCCCUUCGGGGUACUCGAGUGGCGAACGGGUGAGUAACACGUGGGUGAUAUGCCCUGCACUUUGGGAUAAGCCUGGGAAACUGGGUCUAAUACCGAAUAGGACCACGCGCUUCAUGGUGUGUGGUGGAAAGCUUUUGCGGUGUGGGAUGGGCCCGCGGCCUAUCAGCUUGUUGGUGGGGUAAUGGCCUACCAAGGCGACGACGGGUAGCCGGCCUGAGAGGGUGACCGGCCACACUGGGACUGAGAUACGGCCCAGACUCCUACGGGAGGCAGCAGUGGGGAAUAUUGCACAAUGGGCGCAAGCCUGAUGCAGCGACGCCGCGUGAGGGAUGACGGCCUUCGGGUUGUAAACCUCUUUCAAUAGGGACGAAGCGCAAGUGACGGUACCUAUAGAAGAAGCACCGGCCAACUACGUG